AUCUUCUAUCAAAGAUAUUCAAAAGUCCACUUCAUUCUCUUCUAACGAAGAAAACGUCCCAUCAAAAUUCCUAAUCUGCAUGGACAUCGCGAAAACGAUCUACAACCGAGUUGGUCGGAAAAUGUCUCUGUUCACCAGCAAGCUGAUGGAUUAUUUAUUCUCUGCGGCGUAUUUAAUGGAUCAUCGUUUGACUGAUAAUAUGAUGAAUAGUGAGAAGAAAGUAGCUGAUAAGGAACAAAUCAGCCAACUUAUAAAUUGCGUGACGAGUUUCUUUCCAGAGGAAAAAGAGAGCGCCAUACGCGCAGUAAUCCGACAGAAAUUCAACAACGCCUGCAAGACGCAACAACGCGCAACAUCAGCUAAAAA